GCCUUUGAUGAUGACCGAAACAAACUUUUGUGCUUCCAAGGUUUAUUAAUAAUCUACGCGGAAAAUAAUGGAGAUCUGAACUGAGGAGUC